AGAGUUUGAUCCUGGCUCAGGAUGAACGCUGGCGGUCUGCUUAACACAUGCAAGUCGAACGGAGUGCUUCGGCACUUAGUGGCGGAUGGGUGAGUAACGCGUGAGAAUCUACCUUCAGAACGGGGACAACGACUGGAAACGGUCGCUAAUACCCGAUGUGCCGAGAGGUGAAAGAUUUAUCGUCUGAAGAUGAGCUCGCGUCAGAUUAGCUAGUUGGUGGGGUAAUGGCUCACCAAGGCGACGAUCUGUAGCUGGUCUGAGAGGAUGACCAGUCACACUGGAACUGAGACACGGUCCAGACUCCUACGGGAGGCAGCAGUGGGGAAUUUUCCGCAAUGGGCGCAAGCCUGACGGAGCAAGACCGCGUGGGGGAUGAAGGUUUGUGGAUUGUAAACCCCUUUUGUCAGGGAAGAAUGAUGACGGUACCUGACGAAUAAGCCUCGGCUAACUCCGUGCCAGCAGCCGCGGUAAUACGGAGGAGGCAAGCGUUAUCCGGAAUUAUUGGGCGUAAAGCGUCCGCAGGUGGUUGAACAAGUCUGCUGUCAAAGCGCGAGGCUCAACUUUGUAAAGGCAGUGGAAACUGUUUAACUAGAGUGCGGUAGGGGUAGAGGGAAUUCCCAGUGUAGCGGUGAAAUGCGUAGAUAUUGGGAAGAACACCGGUGGCGAAAGCGCUCUACUGGACCUGCACUGACACUGAC
rnacentral:rRNA from 1 species